rnacentral:rRNA from 1 species
UGGGGAAUAUUGGACAAUGGACCAAAAGUCUGAUCCAGCAAUUCUGUGUGCACGAUGAAGUUUUUCGGAAUGUAAAGUGCUUUCAGUUGGGAAGAAGAAAGUGACGGUACCAACAGAAGAAGCGACGGCUAAAUACGUGCCAGCAGCCGCGGUAAUACGUAUGUCGCAAGCGUUAUCCGGAUUUAUUGGGCGUAAAGCGCGUCUAGGCGGUUUGGUAAGUCUGAUGUGAAAAUGCGGGGCUCAACUCCGUAUUGCGUUGGAAACUGCCAAACUAGAGUACUGGAGAGGUAGGCGGAACUACAAGUGUAGAGGUGAAAUUCGUAGAUAUUUGUAGGAAUGCCGAUGGGGAAGCCAGCCUACUGGACAGAUACUGACGCUAAAGCGCGAAAGCGUGGGUAGCAAACAG